GGGGAAAGCAUAAUCUCAUUUUUAAGUGAAAAAUUACACACACACACACACACACAAGCCUGGGAAGCUAAAAACAUACAAUUAAAUGUUAACAGUGUUACUGCUGGAUGGUGAAGGGUGGGCUGAUGGGCUAGCGAUAUGUGGCACGGUACCCUCUCUUGACGCUGGGCAGUGGUGGCAAGCACAGCUCCCAGUCAGCCAUGCAAUCAUCAGGAUACGUGUGGCUCGGGACACCACGCUGUCAGAGUUUCACUAUCCUAAGCACAAUGUAACAACUCAUCAUGGCCACGUAGUGUUCCAGUAACAUGGAGGAAUAAAAAAGUUGUAUAAAUGGCAUCAAGAUUGCCUUAAGACCAUCACGCUAAUAGAAGCAAUAAACAUC